GCCAGACCCAUAUGUCCCUGCAGUUCACCUGCUUUCCCACUGAAGCUAAGCAGGGUUGAGCUUUUCCAGUAGCUGGAUGGGAGACCUCCUGGGGAAAACUAAGGUUGCUGCUGGAA
rnacentral:rRNA from 1 species